rnacentral:rRNA from 1 species
GAAACGACUGCUAAUACCGCAUAAGCCCACAGCUCGGCAUCGAGCAGAGGGAAAAGGAGCAAUCCGCUUUGAGAUGGCCUCGCGUCCGAUUAGCUAGUUGGUGAGGUAACGGCCCACCAAGGCAACGAUCGGUAGCCGGACUGAGAGGUUGAACGGCCACAUUGGGACUGAGACACGGCCCAGACUCCUACGGGAGGCAGCAGUGGGGAAUAUUGCACAAUGGGGGAAACCCUGAUGCAGCGACGCCGCGUGGAGGAAGAAGGUCUUCGGAUUGUAAACUCCUGUUGUUGAGGAAGAUAAUGACGGUACUCAACAAGGAAGUGACGGCUAACUACGUGCCAGCAGCCGCGGUAAAACGUAGGUCACAAGCGUUGUCCGGAAUUACUGGGUGUAAAGGGAGCGCAGGCGGGAGAACAAGUUGGAAGUGAAAUCCAUGGGCUCAACCCAUGAACUGCUUUCAAAACUGUUUUUCUUGAGUAGUGCAGAGGUAGGCGGAAUUCCCGGUGUAGCGGUGGAAUGCGUAGAUAUCGGGAGGAACACCAGUGGCGAAGGCGGCCUACUGGGCACCAACUGACGCUGAGGCUCGAAAGUGUGGGUAGCAAACAGGAUUAGAUACCCUGGUGGUCCACACCGUAAACGAUGAUUACUAGGUGUUGGAGGAUUGACCCCUUCAGUG